rnacentral:rRNA from 1 species
UACAGAGGGGGCAAGCGUUGUUCGGAAUUACUGGGCGUAAAGGGCGCGUAGGCGGCCUGCUAAGUCGAACGUGAAAUCCCCGGGCUCAACCCGGGAACUGCGUCCGAUACUGGCGGGCUUGAAUUCGGGAGAGGGAUGUGGAAUUCCAGGUGUAGCGGUGAAAUGCGUAGAUAUCUGGAGGAACACCGGUGGCGAAGGCGGCAUCCUGGACCGAUAUUGACGCUGAUGCCCGAAAGCCAGGGGAGCAAACGGG